GCGAUUUUGGUUAAAAUAUUCAAAAUGGCGGACGGAGGAGCAGCGAGUCAAGAUGAGAGUUCAGCAGCAGUUUGAUUGUUAAGUGUGUGCUUGGAAAAGACUUAACCUUCCGUCCCUGGACACCAUCAUAUGCUAUGCUUUUGGCCUGUCUUUCCGCUGCUGCUCUGUCUAGAUCAGGGAUUCUUAACCAGUGUGUCCUGACACCCUAGUGUCACAGCACCCAUCGAAGUGUGUCACAGAUGCAAGAAUGAACAAUCCGUCAGAAAACAGCAAAUCAUCGGAGAGUGGGGAUGGAAACACAGGCACACAAACAAAUGGUCUGGACUUUCAGAAGCAGCCAAUACCCGUUGGACCGGCCAUUACAUCAGCCCAAGCACAGGCCUUACUUGGACACCUCCAUCAGGUCCAGCUCGCUGGAACAAGUUUACAUGCUGCUGCACAGUCCUUAAAUGUACAGGUAAGAGUGUUUAAAACAUGCUUCCUUCCACUGUCAAUGUGUUCCUAGCUGCAUGUGUAAUCUUGUCA